UAUGUGAUCGUCUCUCGCAUAUCAAUAAGCGGAGGAAAAGAAACUAACAAGGAUUCCCCUAGUAACGGCGAGUGAAGCGGGAAGAGCUCAAAUUUGAAAUCUUAAAGGGUUUCCCUUUACGAAUUGUAGUUUAAAGAAGUGUUUUCUGUUGAGGUUUUGGUAAAAGUUCUUUGGAAUAGGACAUCAUAGAGGGUGAGAAUCCCGUAUUUGACCUUUACUUUCAACUUUGUGAUACACUUUCAAAGAGUCGGAUUGUUUGGGAAUGCAGUCCAAAAUGGGUGGUAAAUUUCAUCUAAAGCUAAAUAUUGGCGAGAGACCGAUAGCGAACAAGUACCGUGAGGGAAAGAUGAAAAGAACUUUGAAAAGAGAGUUAAACAGUACGUGAAAUUGUCAAAAGGGAAGCGUUUGACACCAGUGUUGUUUUUCUGAAAAUCAAUUAAAGAACUGUUUAUGCUAAGCUGUUUAGACUUUAUCAGCUAUCUGUUUAGUUUUGAGCUUUUCUUUAAUGCACUUUUCAGUUAACAAGUCAACAUCAAUUUCUUUUGCUGUAAAAAAGCUUGAGGAAGGUGGCCUUGAGAUUCGUCUUAAGUGUUUAUAGCCUCUUGCCUAUGCAGUCGGAGAGAUUGAGGUACUGCAGCGUAGAUCCUUCGGGGCUAAAUGCAUUUGUGCUAAGUUAUAGCAUUUUAUAGACAACUUGUUGACUAUGAUUUGUCUUGUAGCUUACUCGCUUAUGUUAUUUUACCUACGCUUAGGAUGUUGAGUAGCGACAUACGCAC
rnacentral:rRNA from 1 species